AAUGGAAGCUGCUGGAACCAGCCAUGUGGACAAAUGAAAAAAUGCCUUUUGUCUACAGAUUGCAGCGAUCCUACAUAAAUAUAUGGAGGUCUCUGUCUGGCUUAGGACAGCUGGCUAAGUCUGAUCGUUCCCCUCCGUACAGC
rnacentral:snoRNA from 10 species